rnacentral:rRNA from 1 species
UACAGAGGGUGCGAGCGUUAAUCGGAAUUACUGGGCGUAAAGCGCGCGUAGGCGUCUUUGCAAGUCGGGUGUGAAAUCCCCAGGCUUAACCUGGGAACUGCAUUCGAGACUGCAUUGCUAGAGUAUGGGAGAGGGAAGUGGAAUUUCCGGUGUAGCGGUGAAAUGCGCAGAUAUCAGGAGGAACACCAAUGGCGAAGGCAGCACUCUGGGACGUGACUGACGCUGAGACGCGAAAGCGUGGGGAGCAAACAGG